UGGCUCAGUGGUAGAGUGCUUGCUUUGCAUGCAUGAGGCCCUGGGUUCAAUUCCUCG
rnacentral:tRNA from 1 species